CGGCCCAGACUCCUACGGGAGGCAGCAGUGGGGAAUAUUGCACAAUGGGYGAAAGCCUGAUGCAGCGACGCCGCGUGAGGGAUGACGGCCUUCGGGUUGUAAACCUCUUUCAGUAGGGAAGAAGCGAAAGUGACGGUACCUGCAGAAGAAGCGCCGGCUAACUACGUGCCAGCAGCCGCGGUAAUACGUAGGGCGCAAGCGUUAUCCGGAAUUAUUGGGCGUAAAGAGCUCGUAGGCGGUUUGUCGCGUCUGCCGUGAAAGUCCGGGGCUCAACUCCGGAUCUGCGGUGGGUACGGGCAGACUAGAGUGAUGUAGGGGAGACUGGAAUUCCUGGUGUAGCGGUGAAAUGCGCAGAUAUCAGGAGGAACACCGAUGGCGAAGGCAGGUCUCUGGGCAUUAACUGACGCUGAGGAGCGAAAGCAUGGGGAGCGAACAGGAUUAGAUACCCUGGUAGUCCAUGCCGUAAACGUUGGGCACUAGGUGUGGGGGACAUUCCACGUUUUCCGCGCCGUAGCUAACGCAUUAAGUGCCCCGCCUGGGGAGUACGGCCGCAAGGCUAAAACUCAAAGGAAUUGACGGGGGCCCGCACAAGCGGCGGAGCAUGCGGAUUAAUUCGAUGCAACGCGAAGAACCUUACCAAGGCUUGACAUGGACUGGAAAUACCUGGAAACAGGUGCCCCGCUUGCGGUCGGUUCACAGGUGGUGCAUGGUUUGUCGUCAGCUCGUGUCGUGAGAUGUUGGGUUAAGUCCCGCAACGAGCGCAACCCUCGUUCUAUGUUGCCAGCGCGUAAUGGCGGGGACUCAUAGGAGACUGCCGGGGUCAACUCGGAGGAAGGUGGGGACGACGUCAAAUCAUCAUGCCCCUUAUGUCUUGGGCUUCACGCAUGCUACAAUGGCCGGUACAAAGGGUUGCGAUACUGUGAGGUGGAGCUAAUCCCAAAAAGCCGGUCUCAGUUCGGAUUGGGGUCUGCAACUCGACCCCAUGAAGUCGGAGUCGCUAGUAAUCGCAGAUCAGCAACGCUGCGGUGAAUACGUUCCCGGGCCUUGUACACACCGCCCGUCAAGUCACGAAAGUUGGUAACACCCG
rnacentral:rRNA from 1 species